rnacentral:rRNA from 1 species
GACGAACGCUGGCGGCGUGCUUAACACAUGCAAGUCGAACGAAGAGGCGAACGGGUGAGUAACGCGUAAUCAACCUGCCCUUCAGAGGGGGACAACAGUUGGAAACGACUGCUAAUACCGCAUACUGAAGGAGGGGAUUGCGUCUGAUUGGGUAGUUGGCGGGGUAACGGCCCAACAAGGCGAUGAUCAUUAGCCGGUCUGAGAGGAUGAACGGCCACAUUGGGACUUGGACCAGGCCCAGACUCCUACGGGAGGCAGCAGUGGGGAAUCUUCCGGCAUGGACGAAAGUCUGGCGGAGCAACGCCGCGUGAGUGAUGACGGCCUUCGGGUUGUAAAGCUCUGUUAAUCGGGACACGGUACCGGAAUAGAAAGCCACGGCUAACUACGUGCCAGCCGCCGCGGUAAUAC